CGACCUGAGCUCAGGCAAGACUACCCGCUGAACUUAAGCAUAUCAAUAAGCGGAGGAAAAGAAACUAACUAGGAUGCCCUUAGUAACGGCGAGCGAACCGGGCAGAGCCCAACUUGAAAAUCUCCAGCCUCCGGCCGGCGAAUUGUAGUCUAGAGAAGUGCUCUCUGCCUCAGUCCGGUCCCAAGUCCCCUGGAAAGGGGCGUCAGAGAGGGUGAGAACCCCGUUGGGAUCGGAGCCUGAGGCUCCACGAGACGCUUUCGA
rnacentral:rRNA from 12 species